rnacentral:rRNA from 1 species
GACAUGCUGGGAUUAACUCGGUGAAAGACGAGGGAUUGCCUUCGGGUGUAACCAGCACAGGUGUUGCAUGGCUGUCGUCAGCUCGUGCCUUGAGGUGUUGGGUUAAGUCCCCUAACGAGCGAAACCCUUAUCGUUAGUUGCGACCGGGUCAUGCCGAGCACUCUAGCGAGACUGCCCGUGUCAAACGGGAGGAAGGUGAGGACGACGUCAAGUCAUCAUGGCCCUUAUAUCCUGGGCUGCAAACGUCCUACAAUGGCCCGUACAAAGGGAAGCAAAGCCGCGAGGCGGAGCAAAUCCCAAAAAGCAGGCCCUAGUUCGGAUUGCAGGCUGCAAUUCGCCUGCAUGAAGCUGGAAUCGCUAGUAAUCGCGGAUCAGAACGCCGCGGUGAAUAUGUUCCUGAGCCUUGUACACACCGCCCGUCAAGCCAC